CCUACGGGAGGCAGCAGUGAGGAAUAUUGGUCAAUGGCCGGAAGGCUGAACCAGCCAAGCCGCGUGAAGGACGAAGGUGCCAAGCAUUGUAAACUUCUUUUGUCAAGGGACAAAAUCAGGCUCGAGAGCCUGACCGAGGGUACUUGAAGAAAAAGCAUCGGCUAACUCCGUGCCAGCAGCCGCGGUAAUACGGAGGAUGCGAGCGUUAUCCGGAUUUAUUGGGUUUAAAGGGUGCGUAGGCGGGCUGUUAAGUCAGCGGUAAAAGCCCGGGGCUCAACCCCGGCGAGCCGUUGAAACUGGCUGUCUUGAGUGCUGGAGAGGCAAUCGGAAUUCCGUGUGUAGCGGUGAAAUGCGUAGAUAUACGGAGGAACACCAGUGGCGAAGGCGGAUUGCUGGACAGUAACUGACGCUGAGGCGCGAAAGCGUGGGGAGCAAACAGGAUUAGAUACCCCUGUAGUC
rnacentral:rRNA from 1 species